UAACAGUUGGUGGUUUUGUGUUGAAGGUAACACCCACUCUGUUAACAGUUGGUGGUGUUGUGUUGUGUUGAAGGUAACACCCACUCUGUUAACAGUUGGUGGUUUUGUGUUGAAGGUAACACCCACUCUGUUAACAGUUGGUGGUGUUGUGUUGUGUUGAAGGUAACACCCACUCUGUUAACAGUUGGUGGUUUUGUGUUGAAGGUAACACCCACUCUGUUAACAGUUGGUGGUGUUGUG